UGGGGAAUUUUGGACAAUGGGCGAAAGCCUGAUCCAGCAAUGCCGCGUGUGUGAAGAAGGCCUUCGGGUUGUAAAGCACUUUUGUCCGGAAAGAAAUCCUUGGCUCUAAUACAGUCGGGGGAUGACGGUACCGGAAGAAUAAGCACCGGCUAACUACGUGCCAGCAGCCGCGGUAAUACGUAGGGUGCAAGCGUUAAUCGGAAUUACUAGGCGUAAAGCGUGCGCAGGCGGUUUGCUAAGACCGAUGUGAAAUCCCCGGGCUCAACCUGGGAACUGCAUUGGUGACUGGCAGGCUAGAGUAUGGCAGAGGGGGGUAGAAUUCCACGUGUAGCAGUGAAAUGCGUAGAGAUGUGGAGGAAUACCGAUGGCGAAGGCAGCCCCCUGGGCCAAAUACUGACGCUCAUGCACGAAAGCGUGGGGAGCAAACAGGAUUAGAUACCCUGGUAGUCCACGCCCUAAACGAUGUCAACUAGUUGUUGGGGAUUCAUUUCCUUAGUAACGUAGCUAACGCGUGAAGUUGACCGCCUGGGGAGUACGGUCGCAAGAUUAAAACUCAAAUGAAUUGACGGGGUCAUA
rnacentral:rRNA from 1 species